GGAGGCUCCUUUCUUUGUGAUAACUCCAGCUUGUGUCAAGUUGACUGACCAGCCAGUACAGUGUGCUUUUGUGAACUUCAUGCAUUCUUGCUGGGACACAGACAUAAUGUAUGGAACCCUACUAACUCUCUGGACCAUGAGGCAAACCAGGGAAUGAAGGUUAUUUAUGCAGUGGAUAAUGUGGAAGAGAAGGGAAAGAGAGCGUGUCUUGGAUGUCAAUUUAGAGCUGCCAAACCAAUCGGAUGUGUCACUUUCCAGUUGACUCCAUCUCGCUGGUUUCCAAUCUGUGUUCCUGUCUCCAUACCUCCCUGCUCUCUUAUUUUCCUCCUCCUCUCUCAAUGCCUUUCCCUCUUCCCUACAAGUGUCUUUCUCACAUUCAUAUCUUUGAUAUGUCUCGUGAACCACUAAGUUUAACCAGGGCAGCCACUGUGACCACGAGUCUGGGGCCAUGGAAACUAGCCUUAGAGAAGGUGGUAUCAAUAUCUGUUCUUAGCCAGCACUUGUUCUUAGCACCCCUGCGGCUCAGGGUCUUUGCAAAGAGAGGCCUUUCUGACUAAUGCCGAGGGUGGCAUAGCAUUUGCCUAUAGUGAAAUUGCCUAUACUUUUAGAAGUAGUAUGGUGUUUUAAAAAGUAUAAUUUGGAAGAAAGUUGGGAUAGUACAUUUUCCUUUUACCUUUUAGUAUUCUUAAAAGUGCUUAGAUGUUUAAAAUUAAAAAAGACUUAAUUUAUCCACUAUGAAAUAACUUCUACCUGAGCCUCUCACUAUCUUAUGAAGGUCCAGGGAAGCAGAGACAGGUCUUGUCUCCUGUACUUGCGUGGAAGGCACAGGGUGGUGCAGAUCUAGAUAGAAAAGUCACUUGAGUACUAUGCUUACAAUGUAGAAAAAAAUAUGACUUUGUGUCAUGUAUGUCAAAUAUAAUAUAAUAAUAUCCAUUACAUUUUAUAGUCACAACAACAGCAAAACCUUAAAAUUGAAAUCUUUCGAUUUGAAGCCCAUUUUUUGUGGGGUCUGGGUUUUCAGAUGUGUCUUGGCUUCCCUCUAGUGGCAGCUGAGGCAAAUUGAAUCAAAACCUGGUAUUCCUUUCUGAAAUUUUACUUACUUCCCUCUCUUUUUAAUAAAAUAAAUAUCAAGUG
rnacentral:lncRNA from 1 species